GUCUGUAUGCCAUACCGUCCUGCCAGCGCCGAUCCCGUCCAAUCUCGGAAACUAAGCAGGACUGGGCCUGGUUAGUACUUGGAUGGGAAACAUCCUGGGAAUACCAGGUGCUGUAGGCU
rnacentral:rRNA from 1 species